rnacentral:lncRNA from 10 species
GGGAAAGUACCCAGGGCAAGCUUUAAGUACAAAAUAGGGUGGUUUGCUUUAAGAGUCCUAAAGCAACCUGAGGAACAAUGCAAGAUACCCUGCAGGGUUAUCAGCCUCCUACAAGGGAGUCCCAGGCCCAUGACUCUUUCCAGAAAGAUUCUCCAUUCCUCAUUUUCCUCUAUGGCUACUAGUCAAUUUCUGAGGGUCUUUCUCUGUCACCCAAGCUGGAGUGCAAUGGUGUAAUCAUAGCUCACUGCAGCCUCGACUCCUGGGCUCAACUCUCACUUCAGGCACGUACGUGUCUCACCCAAGGCAUCGAAAAUACCUGGGCAUGCUGGCUGUCAUCUGGAGGCAAUCAGAGAUGGUAAGAAUGCCCGGUAUAAAGAGAAUUGGCAACGGUAACUCCCUGUAGCAAGGUGGGUUCCCUGACAGAAGAGGAAAAGGAGGGAGAGCUGCAUUUGCUGGUAAGAGAGGCUCACUGGGACUUGGGAUACUCUGAAUCACAUGAAUUUCCCCAAACCAAUUCUUCUAGGCCAACUACUUCUUUCUGAUCAAUGCCAUAACUUUUGCAAUAGACCUGAUGAGGCUAUGAACUCAACUAAUGUUUUAAUUCAACAUCCUACAGAAUGAAACUUUGAGUGUUAGGAAGCAGCAGGGAAUACCAAGCUGGUCAUCAAAUCUGAGUGAGUGGGAAACUGGAGCAGGGAGAUGAAGUCAGCAGGGCUGAGAGCCAGUCAUAUGCAGGAACAGAUUGGAGAGUAACGUUCUGGAGAAGUCAAGUGGAGGCAGGAAGUCAAAUGAAGUGGGCUGUGAUCCUGACAUGGACUUUUUUUUUUUUUUUUGAGACAGAGUAUUGCUCUGUUACCCAGACUAGAGUACAGUGGCACGAUCUCAGCUCACUGCAACCUCUACCUCCUGGGUUCAAGUGAUUCUCCUGCCUCAGCCUCCUCAGCUAUGAUUACAGGCAUGCACCACCACACCCAGCUAAUUUUUUGUAUUUUUAGUAGAGAUGGAGUUUCACCAUAUUGGCCAGGCUGGUCUUGAACUCCUGACCGCAAGUGAUCCACCUGCCUCAGCUUCCUGAAGUGCUGAGAUUACAGGCGUGAGCCACUACGCCAGGACCGGACUUUUCUUAGGUGUCAGCCUUCUGUGACUUUGGGCAGCCUGCCCCUCCUAAGGAAGGCUUAGGGUUGGUAUGAAACAUUAAAGAGUUCCCAUUGUAGAAAGUGAGAGUGGUACUUUCCCAUCUGACCUGUACAAAACUAAAAAGAAAAUGUUUCAGCCACAUUUAGGUCUUAGGAAUGGGGGAGAAACAGAAUUCCUCACUAGGAUUAGAGCGACAACCUUCCUGCUGGGUGUCUAUGCCUUCAAGCUCAUUCUCUCUAAUCCAUCCUCCACACAGCAGCCAGAGAAAUCUUUUUUUUUUUGAGAUGGAGUUUUCGCUCUUUUCGCCCAGGCUGGAGUACAAUGGAGCGAUCUCGGCUCACACAACCUCCGCCUCCUAGGUUCAAGCGAUUCUCCUGCCUCAGCCUCCCGCGUAACUGGGAUUACAGGCAUGCGCCUCCACGCCCGGCUAAUUUUGUAUUUUUAGUAGAGACGGGGUUUCUCCAUGUUGGUCAGGUUGGUCUCGCACUCCUGACUUCAGCUGAUCCGCCCGCCUCGGCCUAAGUGCUAGGAUUACAGGCGUGAGCCACCGCGCCCGGCUCAGAGAAAUCUUUCUAACACACAAAACUUUCAAUUACUUCCUACUGCCUUCACGACAAAGCCCACAUUCUGGAACUGGACUUUGAAGGCUCUGAAUGCCGCAGAGCUGCACAGAACCUAAAUUUGCAAUCUGUAGUUAAUUUUCCCUGUGUAAAAAGUGAGACGAAUAUGGGUAGGAACAGAAAAAGGGGGAGGAGCUUGGAAGGUAGGGAAAGGAAACUUCAAGGCCAAAGAGAGAGAGAGAAAGGAUACUACUG